rnacentral:rRNA from 1 species
UACGUAGGGGGCAAGCGUUGUCCGGAAUCAUUGGGCGUAAAGAGCGUGUAGGCGGCUCGGUAAGUCCGCUGUAAAAGUCCAGGGCUCAACCCUGGAAAGCCGGUAGAAACUGUCGAGCUAGAGUCCGGGAAGAGGCGAGUGGAAUUCCUGGUGUAGCGGUGAAAUGCGCAGAUAUCAGGAGGAACACCAUGGCGAAGGCAGCUCGCUGGGACGGUACUGACGCUGAGACGCGAAAGCGUGGGGGAGCAAACAGG